GACGAACGCUGGCGGCGUGCCUAAUACAUGCAAGUAGAACGCUGAAGGAGGAGCUUGCUUCUCUGGAUGAGUUGCGAACGGGUGAGUAACGCGUAGGUAACCUGCCUGGUAGCGGGGGAUAACUAUUGGAAACGAUAGCUAAUACCGCAUAAUAGUAGAUGUUGCAUGACAUUUGCUUAAAAGGUGCAAUUGCAUCACUACCAGAUGGACCUGCGUUGUAUUAGCUAGUUGGUGAGGUAACGGCUCACCAAGGCAACGAUACAUAGCCGACCUGAGAGGGUGAUCGGCCACACUGGGACUGAGACACGGCCCAGACUCCUACGGGAGGCAGCAGUAGGGAAUCUUCGGCAAUGGACGGAAGUCUGACCGAGCAACGCCGCGUGGGUGAAGAAGGUUUUCGGAUCGUAAAGCUCUGUUGUAAGAGAAGAACGAGUGUGAGAGUGGAAAGUUCACACUGUGACGGUAUCUUACCAGAAAGGGACGGCUAACUACGUG
rnacentral:rRNA from 1 species